rnacentral:rRNA from 1 species
GACGAACGCUGGCGGCGUGGUUAACACAUGCAAGUCGAACGGAAAGGCCCUGCUUUUGUGGGGUGCUCGAGUGGCGAACGGGUGAGUAACACGUGAGUAACCUGCCCUUGACUUUGGGAUAACUUCAGGAAACUGGGGCUAAUACCGGAUAGGAGCUCCUGCUGCACGGUGGGGGUUGGAAAGUUUCGGCGGUUGGGGAUGGACUCGCGGCUUAUCAGCUUGUUGGUGGGGUAGUGGCUUACCAAGGCUUUGACGGGUAGCCGGCCUGAGAGGGUGACCGGCCACAUUGGGACUGAGAUACGGCCCAGACUCCUACGGGAGGCAGCAGUGGGGAAUAUUGCACAAUGGGCGGAAGCCUGAUGCAGCAACGCCGCGUGCGGGAUGACGGCCUUCGGGUUGUAAACCGCUUUCGCCUGUGACGAAGCGUGAGUGACGGUAAUGGGUAAAGAAGCACCGGCUAACUACGUG